rnacentral:tRNA from 1 species
GUUGGCGUAGCAAAACCCGGCCAUGCGGGGGGCUUAAAACCCCUAAACAGAUGUUCAAAUCAUCUCCCCAACA